ACAAAAUUGUGUUCAAAAUUGUACUGUAUUUACAAAGUUAAAAAUUUUAUAAGCGGCUUAAGCUGUGUUUAUCUUGCUCUCCUUUUUGUAGGCACGCUACAUCAUCCUGCGAUAUUCUUUCCUCAAUUUCUUUAAGCUGUAGUUUGAGGUUACAGUCAAGAAGUGUUCUUGCGACUGAAUUAAUCUCAGUGGGCAGAGUAUUGCGCAGUCGGAUGGAUGCGAUUGCUUCGCUUGAACUUGUUUUUCUUGGGUGUUUUAUAGCUGUCGCCGAGAGUUUGUUAACGCUUGCGCAAAUGACGCGCCCACCUCGGCCCCUCUGCACGUCCUCCCCGGCCCCUGGUCUCGCUCAUGAAUUUCAAAUUUUGUGGGCUAAAAUCGAAACGCCGCACACAAUUUAUGCAUCUGGCAUACGAAAUUCGGAAUGCAGCAUCGACUUCUGAUUGCGAUUGGACUUUUAAAUGAAAGCCGAUCGUUUUCAAGUCAAGCCGUUUUUUAGAAUAAUAACUACAAAAAAGAUAUAAAAGUGGCGACUAAAUACCCUUGAAGACAUAUAAUAUACAUAUAUUAAUGUUGAACAAAAUAAAUGGUUUUCAUAUUUUUACCAGGAAAGCUCCCACCCUGAAUUCAUUUAAAAUUAGUACAAAAUGGAUCAAAAUGGGUCAAAAAAAUACAUCUCCCACACCCUUCAAGUAUACAAAUUGUUGGACAAUAUCAUUUGAGUCCGUCUAUCCAUAAAUAUGAAUGCGAGUAUCUGAGAAGCAAAAAAAGCAAGGAUCCAUUGAACUUAGAUCUUUCUAGUGCUCGCGCAACUUUGUAUAAAAUAGUCAAUAACACGCCCCGUUUCUAAGCAAUCGAUAAAAACCGAUAUUAAAAUCCUGUUAAGUUUUAAAAU